CAGCGGAGCGUGGGGUUUAAUUCGACGCAACGCGAAGAACCUUACCAGGGCUUGACAUGACCAGGACCGCGGCGGAAACGCCUCCCGCCUGCACAGGUGUGACGAGCGCAACCCCUACUGUGUGUUGGGGAUNUCAAGUAGCAUGGCCCUUACGUCCUGGCUACAUACAUGGCCGGUACACGGGCGGCGAAACCGCGAGGUGGAGCAUCCCUUAAAGCCGGUCUCAGUUCGGAUUGUAGUGCAACUCGCCUACAUGAAGCCGGAGUUGCUAGUAACCGAGGUCAGCAUUACUGCGGUGAAUAUGUUCCCGGGCCUUGUACACACCGCCGUCACGUCAUGAAAGCUGGCAACACCCGAAGCCGGUGGGCCAACCGCAAGGAGGCAGCCGUCGAAGUGGGGUCGGUGAUUGGGACGAAGUCGUACAAGGU
rnacentral:rRNA from 1 species